rnacentral:rRNA from 1 species
AUUGAACGCUGGCGGCAUGCCUUACACAUGCAAGUCGAACGGCAGCACGGGUGCUUGCACCUGGUGGCGAGUGGCGAACGGGUGAGUAAUACAUCGGAACAUGUCCUGUAGUGGGGGAUAGCCCGGCGAAAGCCGGAUUAAUACCGCAUACGAUCUACGGAUGAAAGCGGGGGACCUUCGGGCCUCGCGCUAUAGGGUUGGCCGAUGGCUGAUUAGCUAGUUGGUGGGGUAAAGGCCUACCAAGGCGACGAUCAGUAGCUGGUCUGAGAGGACGACCAGCCACACUGGGACUGAGACACGGCCCAGACUCCUACGGGAGGCAGCAGUGGGGAAUUUUGGACAAUGGGCGAAAGCCUGAUCCAGCAAUGCCGCGUGUGUGAAGAAGGCCUUCGGGUUGUAAAGCACUUUUGUCCGGAAAGAAAUCCUUGGCUCUAAUACAGUCGGGGGAUGACAGUACCGGAAGAAUAAGCACCGGCUAACUACGUG